CACAGGUUUACCUGUGUGACUGCGUACCUUUUGUAUAAUGGGUCAGCGACUUAUAUUCUGUAGCAAGGUUAACCGAAUAGGGGAGCCGGAGGGAAACCGAGUCUUAAUUGGGCGUUAAGUUGCAGGGUAUAGACCCGAAACCCGGUGAUCUAGCCAUGGGCAGGUUGAAGGUUGGGUAACACUAACUGGAGGACCGAACCGACUAAUGUUGAAAAAUUAGCGGAUGACCUGUGGCUGGGGGUGAAAGGCCAAUCAAACCGGGAGAUAGCUGGUUCUCCCCGAAAGCUAUUUAGGUAGCGCCUCGUGAAUUCAUCUCCGGGGGUAGAGCACUGUUUCGGCUAGGGGGCCAUCCCGGCUUACCAACCCGAUGCAAACUGCGAAUACCGGAGAAUGUUAUCACGGGAGACACACGGCGGGUGCUAACGUCCGUCGUGAAGAGGGAAACAACCCAGACCGCCAGCUAAGGUCCCAAAGUCAUGGUUAAGUGGGAAACGAUGUGGGAAGGCCCAGACAGCCAGGAUGUUGGCUUAGAAGCAGCCAUCAUUUAAAGAAAGCGUAAUAGCUCACUGGUCGAGUCGGCCUGCGCGGAAGAUGUAACGGGGCUAAACCAUGCACCGAAGCUGCGGCAGCGAACGUAUCACCCAAGACAACUUUACGGAGUUGACGAUUGACGGAGCGAAGCGACGUCAAAGCGUUCAUUAAAGUCGAGUUGGCUUAGGGAUACGUUCGUUGGGUAGGGGAGCGUUCUGUAAGCCUGUGAAGGUGUGUCGUGAGGCAUGCUGGAGGUAUCAGAAGUGCGAAUGCUGACAUAAGUAACGAUAAAGCGGGUGAAAAGCCCGCUCGCCGGAAGACCAAGGGUUCCUGUCCAACGUUAAUCGGGGCAGGGUGAGUCGACCCCUAAGGCGAGGCCGAAAGGCGUAGUCGAUGGGAAACGGGUUAAUAUUCCCGUACUUGGUGUUACUGCGAAGGGGGGACGGAGAAGGCUAUGUUGGCCGGGCGACGGUUGUCCCGGUUUAAGCGUGUAGGUGUGUGUUCCAGGUAAAUCCGGUUCACUUUAACACUGAGGCGUGACGACGAGGCACUACGGUGCUGAAGCAACAAAUGCCCUGCUUCCAGGAAAAGCCUCUAAGCAUCAGGUAACAUCAAAUCGUACCCCAAACCGACACAGGUGGUCAGGUAGAGAAUACCAAGGCGCUUGAGAGAACUCGGGUGAAGGAACUAGGCAAAAUGGUGCCGUAACUUCGGGAGAAGGCACGCUGACACGUAGGUGAAGUGAUUUACUCAUGGAGCUGAAGUCAGUCGAAGAUACCAGCUGGCUGCAACUGUUUAUUAAAAACACAGCACUGUGCAAACACGAAAGUGGACGUAUACGGUGUGACGCCUGCCCGGUGCCGGAAGGUUAAUUGAUGGGGUCAGCGCAAGCGAAGCUCCUGAUCGAAGCCCCGGUAAACGGCGGCCGUAACUAUAACGGUCCUAAGGUAGCGAAAUUCCUUGUCGGGUAAGUUCCGACCUGCACGAAUGGCGUAAUGAUGGCCAGGCUGUCUCCACCCGAGACUCAGUGAAAUUGAACUCGCUGUGAAGAUGCAGUGUACCCGCGGCAAGACGGAAAGACCCCGUGAACCUUUACUAUAGCUUGACACUGAACAUUGAGCCUUGAUGUGUAGGAUAGGUGGGAGGCUUUGAAGUGUGGACGCCAGUCUGCAUGGAGCCGACCUUGAAAUACCACCCUUUAAUGUUUGAUGUUCUAACGUGGACCCGUAAUCCGGGUUGCGGACAGUGUCUGGUGGGUAGUUUGACUGGGGCGGUCUCCUCCUAAAGAGUAACGGAGGAGCACGAAGGUUGGCUAAUCCUGGUCGGACAUCAGGAGGUUAGUGCAAUGGCAUAAGCCAGCUUGACUGCGAGCGUGACGGCGCGAGCAGGUGCGAAAGCAGGUCAUAGUGAUCCGGUGGUUCUGAAUGGAAGGGCCAUCGCUCAACGGAUAAAAGGUACUCCGGGGAUAACAGGCUGAUACCGCCCAAGAGUUCAUAUCGACGGCGGUGUUUGGCACCUCGAUGUCGGCUCAUCACAUCCUGGGGCUGAAGUAGGUCCCAAGGGUAUGGCUGUUCGCCAUUUAAAGUGGUACGCGAGCUGGGUUUAGAACGUCGUGAGACAGUUCGGUCCCUAUCUGCCGUGGGCGCUGGAGAACUGAGGGGGGCUGCUCCUAGUACGAGAGGACCGGAGUGGACGCAUCACUGGUGUUCGGGUUGUCAUGCCAAUGGCACUGCCCGGUAGCUAAAUGCGGAAGAGAUAAGUGCUGAAAGCAUCUAAGCACGAAACUUGCCCCGA
rnacentral:rRNA from 1 species